rnacentral:rRNA from 1 species
GACGUAGGGGCCGAGCGUUGUCCGGAGUUACUGGGCGUAAAGGGCGCGCAGGCGGCCGGUCGCAUCGGCGGUGAAAGCCCCCCGCUCAACGGGGGAGGGUCCGUCGAGAUGGAUCGGCUGGAGGCAGGGAGAGGGCGGUGGAAUUCCGGGUGUAGUGGUGAAAUGCGUAGAGAUCCGGAGGAACACCAGUGGCGAAGGCGGCCGCCUGGACCUGACCUGACGCUGAGGCGCGAAGGCGUGGGGAGCGAACGGG